UCCAGACUCCUACGGGAGGCAGCAGUGGGGAAUAUUGCACAAUGGGGGGAACCCUGAUGCAGCGACGCCGCGUGGGUGAAGAAGUCAUUCGUGACGUAAAGCCCUAUCAGCUGGGAAGAAAAUGACGGUACCUGACUAAGAAGCCCCGGCUAACUACGUGCCAGCAGCCGCGGUAAUACGUAGGGGGCAAGCGUUAUCCGGAUUUACUGGGUGUAAAGGGAGCGCAGGCGGCCUUGCAAGUCUGAUGUGAAAGGCCGGGGCCCAACCCCGGGACUGCAUUGGAAACUGCGAGGCUGGAGUGUCGGAGAGGCAGGCGGAAUUCCUAGUGUAGCGGUGAAAUGCGUAGAUAUUAGGAGGAACACCAGUGGCGAAGGCGGCCUGCUGGACGAUGACUGACGCUGAGGCUCGAAAGCGUGGGGAGCAAACAGGAUUAGAUACCCUCGUAUC
rnacentral:rRNA from 1 species